AAUAGAUACCCAGGUAGUCCACCCGUAAACGUUGGGACUAGUUGUGGGUCCAUUCCACGGAUUCCGUGACGCAGCUAACGCAUUAAGUUCCCCGCCUGGGGAGUACGGCCGCAAGGCUAAAACUCAAAGGAAUCGACGGGGACCCGCACAAGCGGCGGAGCAUGCGGAUUAAUUCGAUGCAACGCGAAGAACCUUACCAAGGCUUGACAUAUACGAGAACGGGCCAGAAAUGGUCAACUCUUUGGACACUCGUAAACAGGUGGUGCAUGGUUGUCGUCAGCUCGUGUCGUGAGAUGUUGGGUUAAGUCCCGCAACGAGCGCAACCCUCGUUCUAUGUUGCCAGCACGUAAUGGUGGGAACUCAUGGGAUACUGCCGGGGUCAACUCGGAGGAAGGUGGGGAUGACGUCAAAUCAUCAUGCCCCUUAUGUCUUGGGCUUCACGCAUGCUACAAUGGCCGGUACAAAGGGCUGCAAUACCGCGAGGUGGAGCGAAUCCCAAAAAGCCGGUCCCAGUUCGGAUUGAGGUCUGCAACUCGACCUC
rnacentral:rRNA from 1 species